GACGAACGCUGGCGGCGUGCCUAAUACAUGCAAGUAGAACGCUGAAGGAGGAGCUUGCUUCUCUGGAUGAGUUGCGAACGGGUGAGUAACGCGUAGGUAACCUGCCUGGUAGCGGGGGAUAACUAUUGGAAACGAUAGCUAAUACCGCAUAACAGUAGAUAUCGCAUGAUAUCUACUUGAAAGGUGCAAUUGCAUCACUACCAGAUGGACCUGCGUUGUAUUAGCUAGUUGGUGAGGUAACGGCUCACCAAGGCGACGAUACAUAGCCGACCUGAGAGGGUGGUCGGCCACAAUGGGACUGAGACACGGCCCAGACUCCUACGGGAGGCAGCAGUAGGGAAUCUUCGGCAAUGGACGGAAGUCUGACCGAGCAACGCCGCGUGAGUGAAGAAGGUUUUCGGAACGUAAAGCUCUGUUGUAAGAGAAGAACGAGUGUGAGAGUGGAAAGUUCACACUGUGACGGUAGCUUACCAGAAAGGGACGGCUAACUACGUG
rnacentral:rRNA from 1 species